rnacentral:RNase_P_RNA from 1 species
CAUCGUGGACAUACAGCCGCCGCAGGCCUCACGGCUUGGGGAGGAAAGUCCGGACACGAUUGGACACAGUGGUGGCUAACGGCCACCCGUGCGCGUGGGCGCGCAUGCGGGACAGUGCAACAGAAAGUAAACCGCCGAACGGCGCCUUCGGGCGUGCGUGGUAAGGGUGAAACGGUGCGGUAAGAGCGCACCGCCUGACCGGUGACGGCCAGGGCAUGGCAAACCCCACUGCGUGCAAGCGCAAGCAGUCUCGGUCGACGGU